rnacentral:rRNA from 1 species
CCCUUAGAUGUCCUGGGCCGCACGCGCGCUACACUGACAUGUUCAACAAGCCUCCUAGUUCGACAGGUUUGGGAAAUCUUUGAACGCAUGUCGUGAUAGGGAUAGAUCAUUGCAAUUAUUGAUCUUGAACGAGGAAUUCCUAGUAAACGCGAGUCAUCAGCUCGCAUUGAUUACGUCCCUGCCCUUUGUACACACCGCCCGUCGCACCUACCGAUUGAAUGUUUCGGUGAAGAUUCCGGAUAGGACUUUUUUGAUUUAUUUCAAUUCUGUCUUAAAAGCUAUCUAAACCUCAACAUUUAGAGGAAGGUGAAGUCGUAACA